GCGAACGGGUGAGUAACACGUGGGCAACCUGCCCUCAGCUCUGGGAUAACUCCAAGAAAUUGGGGCUAAUACUGGAUAUGACCGCUGACCGCAUGGUCUGGUGGUGGAAAGAUUUAUCGGCUGGGGAUGGGCCCGCGGCCUAUCAGCUUGUUGGUGGGGUAGUGGCCUACCAAGGCGACGACGGGUAGCCGGCCUGAGAGGGUGACCGGCCACACUGGGACUGAGACACGGCCCAGACUCCUACGGGAGGCAGCAGUGGGGAAUAUUGCGCAAUGGGCGAAAGCCUGACGCAGCGACGCCGCGUGGGGGAUGACGGCCUUCGGGUUGUAAACCUCUUUCAGCAGGGACGAAGCGAAAGUGACGGUACCUGCAGAAGAAGCACCGGCCAACUACGUGCCAGCAGCCGCGGUAAUACGUAGGGUGCAAGCGUUGUCCGGAAUUAUUGGGCGUAAAGAGCUCGUAGGCGGUUUGUUGCGUCGGCUGUGAAAACCUGAGGCUCAACCUCAGGCCUGCAGUCGAUACGAGCAGACUAGAGUGUUGCAGGGGAGACUGGAAUUCCUGGUGUAGCGGUGAAAUGCGCAGAUAUCAGGAGGAACACCGGUGGCGAAGGCGGGUCUCUGGGCAACAACUGACGCUGAGGA
rnacentral:rRNA from 1 species